AUCAUAGUCUUUUUAGUACCCAUAUCUCCAUUCAUAUCUGGAUUUUAAAGAAAAUUGUCUGUUUAUUUUUUUGCCUUUAGUUUAAGUAUAAGUUUUUCUUUUUCAGUUAAAGAUAUAUCAGAAUCAGGUGGAGGAAAGAACUCAGUGGUGAACUCCGGAAGCUUCAUCCUUGGGGGUGAAAUGCAUUACAUUCAAAAGGCCUUAGUCACAAUGCCACUACUGAAUCACCCAGGUCUUAAAGCCAUUUCAGAAGCACCAGCCAUCAACAAUUCAUGGACCAGCUCUAACCACAAUAUAACUGCAGGGAUGCUUAUGCAAAACUUUUCCAUCUGAGGAACACAAACAGUUCCAUCGAUUUUGCUAUCACUCCAGUGUUCCAAUUUGUCCAGUGUUUAUGGCCAGCAUACACACCAUGACACUUUCCCUGGAGCUCCCACCUGGAAGCAAGUCGUUAUCUCAGCCUGUGAAUGAUGCUGAACAUGUUGACCUGAUGCUGUUAUUCCUUGCUGCUUGUCUUCUCUGCCAUCUCCUGCCUGGGAUUUGUUCGCUUCAACUACAUAGGAACAGUUUCACCCUUUCUCUUCCUGGAUUAAAAGUGCAAAGAAAAAAAAAGUUAACAGUUAAGUGUUCCUUUACUCAACUACAAGCUCUUGGGGAGCACACUAAAGGGACAG